rnacentral:rRNA from 1 species
UACGUAGGGCGCAAGCGUUAUCCGGAAUUAUUGGGCGUAAAGAGCUCGUAGGCGGUUUGUCGCGUCUGCCGUGAAAGUCCGGGGCUCAACUCCGGAUCUGCGGUGGGUACGGGCAGACUAGAGUGAUGUAGGGGAGACUGGAAUUCCAGGUGUAGCGGUGAAAUGCGCAGAUAUCAGGAGGAACACCGAUGGCGAAGGCAGGUCUCUGGGCAUUAACUGACGCUGAGGAGCGAAAGCAUGGGGAGCGAACAGG